GGAGGUUGUAGGAUGUUAGUGCUUCAGAGGAAAACAACAACGAGCUUUUCUCUCCUCUCUGGGGAUCCUGGUCAGCUUCACAUCGGUGGCCCAGAAAUCAGUCUCAGCCCCUCCCAGUAUGGACCGCUCCUUGACAGCCGCCCUCUCUCCUAUAAAGGCAGAUGCAAGCUACGUUUGUGUGGGGAUGACACAGCACAAAGGCCCUUGCCAGAUGUGAGCCCCUUGAUAUUGGAUUUCCCAGUCUUCAGAACUGUAAGAAAUGAAUUUAUUUUCUUUGUAAAUUACCCAAUCUGUGGUAUUCUGUUUAGCAACACAAAGCAAACUAAGA
rnacentral:lncRNA from 1 species